rnacentral:rRNA from 1 species
UACGUAGGGUGCGAGCGUUAAUCGGAAUUACUGGGCGUAAAGCGUGCGCAGGCGGUUUUGUAAGUCAGAUGUGAAAUCCCCGAGCUUAACUUGGGAAUUGCGCUUGUAACUGGCAAGCUAGAGUGUGGCAGAGGGGGGUGGAAUUCCACGUGUAGCAGUGAAAUGCGUAGAUAUGUGGAGGAACACCGAUGGCGAAGGCAGCCCCCUGGGUUAACACUGACGCUCAUGCACGAAAGCGUGGGGAGCAAACAGG